GUUUGGAGCAGGAUUUAGUCAUUUCUUCUGUUGGCAUCUGAAAAUCAGCUCUUCUUUCUCUGAUCCAACUGUGUUUAAAUUUCCAGCAUAAUGGCAGCAGCAGACGUACCUGGAGCCACCAAAGGACUGCUUCUCAUCUUCACUCUGUUUACACUGGUUCAUGUCACACACUCACUGGAAUCAAAGCAAAAUCUGGAAAUUCUCACAAAAUAUUAUCAAGGUGGAUUGAAUGAAGCAGCCAAAAAGAAGGCACAGCUGGACAAUGGGCUUACACGUUUUAUAGAAGAUUUUCAGGAAGAUGUUGACGAGAUUUUUCUUGUUGUAAAGCGACUGAAAGUCAUAGCAGAGAAGAACCUUUACCUGAGCGAACUCCCCACUGUGGUCGAUAACUUUUUAAAUGAAAGGAUUCAACAGGCCAAUAAUGAUAUAAAGGCUUAUGAAAAGGAAAUGCAGGACAUCUGGGACUUUGUAAACCACGAAGAAAGCAAUCUUGGCAAGCUUAAUCAGAGCUUAUUCUAAAAUUAAAUUCUUUCUCUUCUGUUUUGUUUGUUUUUAUGAGAAAAAUCUAGAAUAAAUGACAAGUUGUAUGUUAGCUGAUCAAGGUGUUCCUUGCCAGUUGGUGAUUCUGUUUCUUUUUAAUAAAACUAAAUAUGCAGCUUUAAAUUAAAACUGAAGGAUCUGAAGAAUUGCUUGGCAUUGGGUUGCACAGACUCAAAUUUGUGAAGUGGUUUUGUAUUUCUUCUGGUCGGUCCAUCAAUGCAGAAAGUUCAAAAAUCAAAGCAGGUCAACUUCUUACACAAAGUUAAGAUACAGGUUUGGGAUAAAUUAUAUGCAAUGCAAUAAUGUGACACUGUGUAGUUUUACUUUUCUGAUUACCAAUAAAGAUGUCAACAAAUCA